rnacentral:lncRNA from 1 species
GCAGGGUUGCUACUCAAAUGAUUUGUCAAAUGAUAGUCAAUGUUCUUGCAGGGAUAGAAUUCGAGCGUUAAAAGUAAUUUUAUUUGCAGCAAGCUUGCAAAAAGUGUUCGUAUUCAUUCAUUCCAUGUAUAUAAACAGAAUUUUGUUGCGGCUUUUUCACUAUCGGGAAUAUGGCGCGACGUCUCCGUUUUUUAAACCCGAAGAAAACACUGUUUCUACUUUGUGACAUACAGGAAAAAUUUCGUCCUGUGCUUCCUCUAUUCAAAGGCUUGGUGCAGAAUGCUGACAAACUGCAUACAAGUUCCCCAUAGAGUUUUGGGGAGUGUUGC